rnacentral:rRNA from 1 species
CGCACACCUCAGUAACACGUGGCUAACCUGCCCUUGGGACGUGGACAACCCCGGGAAACUGGGGCUAAUCCGCGAUAGGUGAAGAACUCUGGAAUGAGUCUCCGCUUAAAGGGUAUUUAGAUUAUGCUUUUAGGUAUCGCCCAAGGAUGGGGCCGCGGCCGAUCAGGCUGUUGGUGAGGUAACGGCUCACCAAACCUAUAACCGGUACGGGCCGUGGGAGCGGGAGCCCGGAGAUGGGAACUGAGACAAGGUCCCAGGCCCUACGGGGCGCAGCAGUUGCGAAAACUCCGCAAUGCACGAAAGUGUGACGGGGCUACCCCGAGUGCUGUCCGCUGAGGAUGGCUUUUUUCCCGAGUGUAAGGAGCCGGGGGAAUAAGGAAAGGGCAAGUUUGGUGUCACCCGCCCCCUUAAACCACCUCUCCGAGUGGGUAGGGAUGCUUACUUGGCCU